rnacentral:rRNA from 1 species
UGCCCUUCAGAGGGGGACAACAGUUGGAAACGACUGCUAAUACCGCAUACGAUUCAACCUCGGCAUCGAGGAUGGAUGAAAGGUGGCCUCUAUUUAUAAGCUAUCACUGAAGGAGGGGAUUGCGUCUGAUUAGCUAGUUGGAGGGGUAACGGCCCACCAAGGCAAUGAUCAGUAGCCGGUCUGAGAGGAUGAACGGCCACAUUGGGACUGAGACACGGCCCAGACUCCUACGGGAGGCAGCAUG